rnacentral:rRNA from 1 species
CCUUAGAGUUUGAUCCUGGCUCAGGAUGAACGCUAGCUACAGGCUUAACACAUGCAAGUCGAGGGGCAGCAUGACCUAGCAAUAGGUUGAUGGCGACCGGCGCACGGGUGAGUAACACGUAUCCAACCUGCCGAUUAUUCCGGGAUAGCCUUUCGAAAGAAAGAUUAAUACUGGAUAGCAUAACGAGAAGGCAUCUUCUUGUUAUUAAAGAAUUUCGAUAAUCGAUGGGGAUGCGUUCCAUUAGUUUGUUGGCGGGGUAACGGCCCACCAAGACAUCGAUGGAUAGGGGUUCUGAGAGGAAGGUCCCCCACAUUGGAACUGAGACACGGUCCAAACUCCUACGGGAGGCAGCAGUGAGGAAUAUUGGUCAAUGGACGAGAGUCUGAACCAGCCAAGUAGCGUGAAGGAUGACUGCCCUAUGGGUUGUAAACUUCUUUUAUAUGGGAAUAAAGUGCAGUAUGUAUACUGUUUUGUAUGUACCAUACGAAUAAGGAUCGGCUAACUCCGUGCCAGCAGCCGCGGUAAUACGGAGGAUCCGAGCGUUAUCCGGAUUUAUUGGGUUUAAAGGGAGCGUAGGCGGAUUAUUAAGUCAGUUGUGAAAGUUUGCGGCUCAACCGUAAAAUUGCAGUUGAUACUGGUAGUCUUGAGUGCAGCAGAGGUAGGCGGAAUUCGUGGUGUAGCGGUGAAAUGCUUAGAUAUCACGAAGAACUCCGAUUGCGAAGGCAGCUUACUGGACUGUAACUGACGCUGAUGCUCGAAAGUGUGGGUAUCAAACAGGAUUAGAUACCCUGGUAGUCCACACAGUAAACGAUGAA